UGACUCGGUUUGCCCGUGUUGCUUAUCCAUUGUUGGAGCUGUGGCUGAUUCCUGCUACGUGCUAUACCGGCCACUCGCCCCUACGUUGCCUUGCUGAUGCCCCGGCGGGGAGGACGAGCUCAACAGAUGGCAUGCCCUGUGCUCCGGCGAAGUUGGCUCCACGUCUCAUGCCGCCCGCCUUCUCCGUCGCACAAGGAGAACAACAUGAGACAAUCGUCUCAAUGGCCGUGCUGGCGCUUUGUUUCUCUCCAGGUGAUAUAGAUCUUCAGACAUCGAGGAUGAAGACGCGGGGAGGUUUGACCGGCGCGGGCGCCCGUGAGGCUUGCUGGCGGCACCGGAUGCGGCGAGGACCGAACCAUAUCGGCACAGGCGGCGAGGACGGAGACGGCAGCCUCGACAACGUCCCCAACAGCGACACCAGUUACUGCGGCGUGAUGCAGGAGCAGGAGCCCCAGUCAGCGCAAUCGCUGCCAGGCGGUGGCUCGGCGAAGAUACAGACUUGCAGAGGCGGGCUAAUACCGGAGCUCAACAUCCGCCGGCAGGUCCUCGAACCUAAGCAAGUGGCGGCCGCGUGGCCGCCGGCGCGUUUCCGACUCCACGGCAAGCGGCAACGUCGGCGGCUAAAGCGGGAAGUGCGCGUCCGUGAUGGACAGAUAAGCCUCCGGCUGUAGCACUCUGCAUUUUUUUUUCUCUUUCUUCCUUUGACACCCCCGUUUCUAUCAUUUGCAGGACCAGUGGCGGAAGAAAACGAGCCAAUCACAAAGAAUCCUUCUCCCCAGCUUUUCUCACCUCCUACACAGCAUCUUAUCUCUUUAAUUUGCCGUUCGAGUGCUCGAUCUGUUUUCCAUUUUUUCCUCUCCUCUUAAUACCUUCCGUAAUCUGAUUAUUGCAUCGUUUCAGGCGGUUCAUGAGUUUGAUGUACUAGAUGGAGGUACAUUCAGUUCAGAAUCUGCAGACCUGAAGAAUGUUGGUGUACAUGUAAGUAUGUAUCUGGCUACUUCCAUUUUGGCAUUUGGAUCUGGGUAGCCUGAUGUUCAGCUCGCCGUCAUCAAUGAAGGUUGACGCAGAAUGUAUAAGCAUCAAGGUUUCCCUACUUCAAGCCACAUAAUGACAAUGGAUGUCAUUCCUUGCAAAUUUGAGUUCUCAAGGUAUAGUUCACCGUCAAUGCUCCUGCGCUUGCUCAAUUUGUUGAGGUCUGAGCGAUUUUCUUAAAUAUAGCUUACAUUUGUUUCAGCUUUCAUACCCUAUACAACUCAAUUUUCUGUACUAUCUAACAUAAUGUUGCUGAUUUAUGUAAAGUUAACAUCCUCUGCUAUUUCUUACUACGCAAUUUAUAUCACUCAAUUUGAGAGUACAUCUGGUUCAUGUCUCGAAAAAUAAGAAUUUAAACAAAUAAGACGAUAGUGCAAGCGAACAAUGUUUUCUGAAAUUUCCUUUCCCCGUAAAAUUGUUAUGUUUCCUUGGCGAAAGCUGCUAUCCCAUUAGUUAUUCCUUUUAAAAAUGUGAAGGACAGAAGGUAUAAACAUCAAGGUUUCCCCAUUUCAAGCCACAGAAUGACAGUGGAUGUCAUUCCUUGCAAAUUUGAGUUCUGAAGGUGUAGCUCACCGUCAAUGCUCGAUGAAAGAUAUUGUGAUUUACAUUUCACAUGGUACAUUUCAUAGCUUUAUUUUUAUUUUCCUCGACCAUUUUUUAUUAUGUCUAGAUUCAUGGGAAGAACAUGGCCAAGAGGGUUGGUGGAUUUUAUGCUUGCUAUAUACUCACUUGUAUGAUAUGUUGAGAUCAAGGAUUCAAUUCAGAUCAAGGCUUUUAUGCAAAUCUUCAUGUCUAGAUUCUCUGCCGGCUGAUAUCUGUAACAAGAUUAGUUCUGAACUGUGUGUUUGUUGGCGCUGGUUCCCUGGAGUUCUGUUGUUGAAACCACCUUGAUCUGCUAAUUCUUUUUUCCUUCAUUACUGCUGUAUAGGCUCUUCUACUGCUCCCGCCUCCAUGUUCUUUGUAUCUUUAACCGUUUUCUACCUUAAUAUAAGUGAAAACAGGGCUGCUUUCUACUCUACCUUUUCCGUGUGAACCUUGAGUCGGGCUCCCCUCUUUUCGUGCUUAUGGAUUAGCUAGCAGCAUUUACUUUCGAGUACCGAGUACGCCUGCGAGAAGACUUACUAAGGCUUGCGCCAAGGUCCACUACUAUGUCCACUAUCGAUAAGGGUGCUUUAGAUUUUUGGAAUUCCGAUAUGCUGAAAUAAACAUGAUAUUUCUUGUUUGAGAAGAUAAUAUGUACGAUAUUUCGGCGAGGCCCAUUAACCCAAGUGCUUGCUUAUUUGCUGCCCAUCUACACCAUGGAUGCAUAUAAGAGCAAUUGUGACGGUUUAGUGAAAUACAAUCCGUGGAUGAGACUCCUACAACCUGAAUAAAGGUAUUUUGGAUAAUUGUUUCGACCUCUACAAGCAUGUACUAUGUGCCUCACAUGGUAUAACUAUGAAGAAGUGCUUGAUGAAUCUGUACAUGACGGCACAUACGGGCUGCUUCCAGGUGGUCAUCACUGAUAACCAAUAUCACAUUGGUGCUUUGGUUCGGAUUAGGAGUCUUCAUGAUGUUCUGCCAUUGUUUGCCUAGAUAGUUGGUGUGCCAUGAAAGUACCUAUUUUAUUUUUUCCCGCUAUUGUCUUCUAACUGACAGAUAUGUUACGUUGGUAGACGAUACAUCCAAGGUAUGUUUCCUAAAUGGAGUCAAAAUUUGAAAUUUAUCUCCUGAUCUUGAGAUAUGAAGCAAUUAUUUGUCUCAGGAAAAGAGAGGGUCUAAUUCAACUGUGAUGACUUUUGCAAUUUGAACAGUGUAUUACUAUUUCUCAUUGUAAGCCGAAUUAUUUUAUUACUAUCUGAAAAAUGUCCUCGCACAA